rnacentral:rRNA from 1 species
UACAGAGGGGGCAAGCGUUGUUCGGAAUUACUGGGCGUAAAGGGCGCGUAGGCGGCCAACUAAGUCAGACGUGAAAUCCCUCGGCUCAACCGGGGAACUGCGUCUGAUACUGGAUGGCUUGAAUUCGGGAGAGGGAUGCGGAAUUCCAGGUGUAGCGGUGAAAUGCGUAGAUAUCUGGAGGAACACCGGUGGCGAAGGCGGCAUCCUGGACCGGUAUUGACGCUGAGGCGCGAAAGCCAGGGGAGCAAACGGG